CCUACGGGGGGCAGCAGUCGAGAAUCAUUCACAAUGGGGGAAACCCUGAUGGUGCGACGCCGCGUGGGGGAAUGAAGGUCUUCGGAUUGUAAACCCCUGUCAUGUGGGAGCAAAUUAAAAAGAUAGUACCACAAGAGGAAGAGACGGCUAACUCUGUGCCAGCAGCCGCGGUAAUACAGAGGUCGCAAGCGUUGUUCGGAAUCACUGGGCGUAAAGGGUGCGUUGGCUGUUUCGUAAGUCGUGUGUGAAAGGCGCGGGCUCAACCCGCGGAAGGCACAUGAUACUGCGAGACUAGAGUAAUGGAGGGGGAACCGGAAUUCGCGGUGUAGCAGUGAAAUGCGUAGAUAUCGAGAGGAACACUCGUGGCGAAGGCGGGUUCCUGGACAUUAACUGACGCUGAGGCACGAAGGCCAGGGGAGCGAAAGGGAUUAGAUACCCUUGUAGUC
rnacentral:rRNA from 1 species